rnacentral:rRNA from 1 species
CAUAGCGACUAUCGUGGCAUAUCAAUAAGCGGAGGAAAAGAAACUAACAAGGAUUCCCUUAGUAACGGCGAGUGAAGCGGGAAGAGCUCAAAUUUGAAAUCUUCAAGGUUUUACCUCGACGAAUUGUAGUUUAAAGAAGUGUUUUCUGUUGGAGUUUUGGUAAAAGUUCUUUGGAAUAGGACAUCAUAGAGGGUGAGAAUCCCGUAUUUGGUCAUUCUUUCUAGCUUUGUGAUACACUUUCAACGAGUCGGAUUGUUUGGGAAUGCAGUCCAAAAUGGGUGGUAAAUUUCAUCUAAAGCUAAAUAUUGGCGAGAGACCGAUAGCGAACAAGUACCGUGAGGGAAAGAUGAAAAGAACUUUGAAAAGAGAGUUAAACAGUACGUGAAAUUGUCAAAAGGGAAGCGUUUGACACCAGUGUUGUUUUUCCGAAAAUCAAUUACGAAUGUUUUAUUUUUGAGAAGUUAUGACUUCAUCGGCUUGCUUCUCUCUUUAUGAAACUUUCUUAAUGCACUUUUCGGUUAACAAGUCAACAUCAAUUUCUUUUGUUGUAAAAGGGUAUGAGGAAGGUGGCUUUCUUUUCGGAGAAAGUGUUUAUAGCCUUGUACCUCUGCAAUCGGAGAGAUUGAGGUCUGCAGCGUAGAUCCUUCGGGGUUAGAUACAUUUGUGCUAAGUUAUAGCUUUUCAUAGACAACUUGUUGACUAUGUUUAGUCUUGUAGCUUACUCGCUUAUGCUAUUUUACCUACGCUUAGGAUGUUGAUAGUCACAGCGUGUAC